rnacentral:rRNA from 1 species
UACGUAGGCAGCGAGCGUUGUUCGGAGUUACUGGGCGUAAAGCGUGCGUAGACGGUUAUUUAAGUCGGGUGUGAAAGCCCCGGGCUCAACCUGGGAAUUGCAUUCGAGACUGAAUAGCUAGGGUACGGUAGAGGGAAGCGGAAUUUCCGGUGUAGCGGUGAAAUGCGUAGAUAUCGGAAGGAACAUCAGUGGCGAAAGCGGCUUCCUGGACCAGUACCGACGUUCAGGCACGAAAGCGUGGGGAGCAAACAGG